GUAUAUGGCCAUACCUCCCUGAACUCACCCAACUUUGAUCUUGGAAGCUAAGCAGGGUGGGGCCUGGUCAGUAGUUGAAUGGGAGAUUUUGGAUAAAGUAAUUAGCUUUAGAAG
ensembl:rRNA 5S_rRNA 5S ribosomal RNA